AUCAGGGGAACUGAUUUUAAAGAGAUUGAAAUGAGUCCUCCAGCCUUAGAUCUUUUAAUGCCUCCAGCAAGAACACAUCAGAGAGCUCCAAAAGUGGCCAGUGAUGCAUCUCCAGACUGCCUUUUGUAGCACGUUUGUCUCAGAGCUGGAAGGUGAGCUCCCCUAUGUACAAAUCUGCAUGGAAAUGCUUUAAUUGCUGCUGUGUCAUCACAGUGGAGAAACUCAUAUGGAUUCCUGCCAGUGGAAGUGUCGGAGCCCCAGCUAUGUCUGGUUUCUGGGACACAGAUGUCAGCAGAGAACAGCAUGGGACAAUGAGGCUGUGGCAGCUCCCUGAGUCUGGGAGGGAAUUGAUGCACACAAAGAUCCUUCCUGCCUGGGCAACUCUGAGUUCAGCCAUGUUAUUACUUUAAUGUGGUUUAAUAAGUCAUUGUGUGCCACUGAGCAAAGCUAGGGGAUAGCAACUGUUAUCCCCAGGUCAUGUCACAUGUGAGAUAGGUAGGUGAUGCUGAAACCACUUCUGCUAACAUUUAGUAACUUCUAUAGCCGUGGUAAUUUGAUCAUGUGUCCAGCUUCCAAGUGAGAUAAAGCAGAUGCGACAUGAACUGUAUGUAUCUGACCGGAUGCGUUUUAAUCCCAGACAGCCUCCUGCUCAAACCUCUGUGCCAUCACUUGGCUGGGUGCUGCCUUCCCCAGCAGCCCCGGGCUGAACGGUGCAAGCAAUGCUGUUAAAAACCGCCAGGCCCCAGCAAAGCCCAUUGGCGCUCCUGGAUUUCUCUUCAUCGGACCUGGAUCUUUUUUUGCCAGACAUGAGACGAUGAUGAAUGUGACACUUGAGUUGCCAUGGGAACACAGCAUGAGGUUCGUGUUAGCAGCGCUCCUUCCUGCAAGCGAGCGCCGCUGGCUCUAGGGAUGGGGACGAGCGGCACUGCUGGCAUCUGUCCAGGGCUUGCCCAUGUGCUCUCUCGAGGUCUGGGGGUGAGCCCCGUGUAUUUAACCAGAGGAAGAUCUGAAGGGACAAGUCACUGCAAGGUAGGAAGACGUGUCAGACGGUAGGGAGGGAAAUUGCAAAGUCCUGGUUGAAACUUCUGCUGCAAAAUCUUGAUGAAGAUCAUAAGGGAGGUCCACAGGGACCUACAGACUAAGAGGCUGCCUCCCAACCACCACGGGGAAUAUAUGAAAGUUUUCAGUGUGGGGAAGACCGGAGCCCUGAGGUGCCCUUGUAAUUGCUGCCUGGGCUGUUCCAGCAUCACUGGGAGGGUGGUGAGCGUUUCUACCACAGCUUCCCCCUGCCUUUCCUGAAGGCUUUUAUAAAUCCUCCCCCCAGUCCUUUAGAAAUGCUCAUGUUCAGUUGGUGACAUCCAUGCUGUCCACUCUCCUGUCCACCCAUAGGGCUUUCCUGAGCCUUAGCUCAGGAAUAAUCAGGAAGCACUUUUGUGCUGUUAGAAAAUCAUUUGGAGCUUUCAGAAAGGCAAUUUCAGAGAGACUCCUCAUUGUUACUGCUAUUAUUCUCCUUUCACAGGGCUCCCUUUAAAUCCUCACCUAAUGUCAUUUUAUUAAGGGAAGAAAUAAGUUUCCAAAGAUCUUACAGAAGCAGGUUUUGUUGAAGCAGAGGGAGGGGGGUGAGGUUUCAGCCCUGCUUGGAAGACAGCUGAAAACUGUUGUCCGUCUGUCUCACUAAUGUGAUGAUUUGAAUGUGUAUCAGAUGGGUGGGAGCUCCCCAGGAAGAGAUAAGGGAAACCCGGGUUAAAAAGAGUUGAAAUGCUGCUGGAGGGAAGAAAAGGGUAAUGAAUGUACAGGUUAUGGUGUUGGCAAUACGGAUACUGUUAGGGACUACAAGAAGGAGUGAGAAAUACCACCCAGAGAAUCUAGCCAGGUGGUUAUAAAGUAUGAUAAAAUAGGAUUUAGAGGAACAGCUUGCAGCAUGCCAUCCUGGGACGCUGGAAUUGCUGUUCUUUUGUGAUCGUGAGUCUGGGUCUUCCAUUAAAAUUGCACUGCCACGAGUGCCAAGACUGUGCCUGGAAAGUGGCUCAGCUGACUCUCGAACAGUAGCUGCUGCUUUUUCCUGAGGAGUUGACAACCAGGCUGCCUCCGCAGCAGGCUCACGGCUGGGUCCAGGCAGCGCCGCGUGCAGACCGAGCCUCAAAACAUGGUUUGCAAAUGAGAGAGAUGGGAAAGACAGGAGCAAGUAGCAGCUGUUGGAAUUUGAAUCCGCCCCAAAGACCACUUAGAUCUCCGGUUUCAGAGAAUGGCGAGCAGAGUCUACCUCGGCUUCCAUCGUGAAUAUUAAGCAAAUGAAGUCUGGAAAUCUACCUCCACUACCUGACGUAACAGUGUAACACAGCCUUGAAGUUGCAGCUCUGAAAAGAGAAAACCAGGAUGGCCAGACAAACCUGGGAACAAGUUCGUACAGACUGGAGCGUCUGGAGGAAUCGGCUCUGCAGACCAGACAAGGAGGCAAGGAGGUGGGUUACAAGGAAAUGACAGCAAGGCAUGUUCUGGGAGCACAGCCCUCUGCGUACAAGACACCUGUGAGCAUGCGUAGGAGCAGACCACCUUCUGAAAAUGAAGCCAGGGAGCAGACUGUGUUUGCAGAGACCUCCCAACAGGACAGCCUGGAAAUGUCAGAGCUCCUUUCCCUUGCAGCCUGUUCUCGGGAAGCGCAGGAAGAAGCUCCGUCAGGCCCCAGGCUGCUGUAAGGAGGGUGCUGUCAUGCAGGAAAUCUUGGCAGAAGCCUUCCAUCACUGAACCCUCUCCCAGCACCACACAACCAGCCCAGCCAAGUGAGUGACAGCCACUAACAGGCCAUCUCCAGCCUGGCCCAGGUCCGACUCGCUGCGUGAGCCAAUGCUCGCUGUCACUGUGCUGCAUUACCUAGGCAGAUCCAGACAGGUGGCACUGGCAAGAAACCAAGGAAGAAAAACACUUCAUUCCCAGGGAGCAAUCUUCCAUCUGAGAUGGCACGUGAUGCAAGGUGCAGCGUGUGUUGGCCAUGAGAUGAGAUGUGCCUUAUAACAGUUUCCAAAGUUUUGGAACUAGCUCAGUCUUGAAAUCCAGAGAAAUUUGGUUAACUUGUUCUGUUUUGUCUGAGUAGCUCUAUUUUUUUUUCUGUGUGUGUCUUUCGGCUUCAUCUCCUGUUGGGAGUGCUGAAAUUCCAUCACAAAAGCUGCAUCAUCACUUGGCUUUUUAUUACAGUUUUUCAGCACUACAUGACUGCUAGCGCAUCUCCAGCCAUGCUGGAAAUGGGAAGAAACAACAAACAGCUCUUUAGAUAAUGCAGAAAGACCAUGCCUUCCUGCUAACAGCCAGCUGUGCCCGCAUUUCCCCUCUCCUCCAGCAAGAUACUGAUGCUGCUGCAAGACUAGAGAUUAACUGGAGGUCCCCUUUAACUUCAGGAAGACUAUUUGCAAUGAGAGAUAUUUUUCAGAGUGAACAAACGACAGGACUGUGGUGGGAGGGAGAGAGUUCCCUUGAGGGGUCCCUAAUACCCCUCCGUGCAUUUACCAGUCCUCAGUAAUCUCUCCUCUGCAGGCCUGUCCUACCCAACCCUGCUUAGCUGGUAAUUGCUGAAGGAAUCAAAACACAAGGUAUGGCAGCUGCAGGCAUCCAGUGGAAAAAAAAAUCCCCACAUGCACAUGCAUAAGUGUAAAAGAGAGACAGAAGGAGAGAAAGCACAUUAAAGGAAAGACAACAUUUGCAGCAGGCUGGUGUGUCCUUGACCGAAGGAGACAUCAAAGACAGCUUCAGUGAUUUACUCUUUGACAGGCUGGCAUCUCUGUGAUUCACGGAGCUAAUCAAUUAGGUGAUACAUUCCCCCUCCCCACCGCCCCUUUAUUUUUAACAGCUUCUUGCCAAGAGUGGAACUGCUCCAGAACUGAAUGGGGACCAGCGUCCUGACCAAGCUGCAGGAGCUGACAGGCGCCAGCCCAGCAGGUCUGAAAGAAGAUCAGGACACAGCCAAAGGGGAUUUGCCACGGGGGCCAGGGGUACUUUAGCCCCCUUUGGACGUGGAUGCCACAUUUUCCUGGGUCAUAAGACACAGAUGAUGUUGCAGAGUUUCAUAGCCCCUCCAUUUAGUUGGAUGUAUGUCCAUCCCUGCCUCCCCAGUUCUGUGCUACUUGAAGGCUUUAAAAGCCUUCCAGCACUUGAGUCCUUCAGCCAUGUGCAAACAGGGCCUUGCCCUUCAGAUUUCUCAGGUUGUUGGCUGUCCUAUUGCAAAAUGAGAAACACAGUCACAGCUGAGCUCUUCUUAGUGAGGAGCAAGUCCCGGGAGGGACAGAGGCUGGGAAAUGCACCACAAGAUUCUUGUGGGGCUGGGCACUGCAGCUGGCCAGGUACUGCAGAAAGCGGCCUGCAUUUAACGCUUGUGUUUCCUCUCCUGAUGAGAAGCUGCAGAAAUCUGGCCACAAUAUGGUACAGUCAGGGAGAUGGGAGCAGUUGUUGGGGUUCAGGGAAUAAACCCCCACAAACAUGGGAGGUUCUGAAGCCCAUGGUCAUCCCAAAAUGGAAACCUUUCCAGGGGCACACAUGGGGACAAAACCACUGAGUCACAGCCAGGGUGUGAACAAGCGAGUGAGUGGUGGGAUGCUGAGCCAGGCAUAUCAGCACUUGCAGUGUUUAAAAUUUCAUUGAAGAUACUAUCAUAAAUCUCUAUCCUUUGUGCUUGCAAGCCUUCUCUUCUGAACAUGGCCACUGUAGUGCUUCCCACAUGAAUAUGCAGCAGGAAUGAGUUUGAGCAGGCACUAAUCACAAGGAGAAAGAAAAGAAACCUUUGAUGUAAAUCCAGGUUCAGGAAAAAGCCCAGUUUCUUCUGAAAGAAUGGGGAUUUUUCCCUACUUGUCUCAAGAGCUAUGACCUGUCCUGGUGCUUGAUGGAAACUAUUUCAGGGUAAGUCUUGGUGAAUUUUUCACGACUGAUCUUUCUAGAAGAAGUGGGAUGCUAACAAGGAAGAGAGGACAGUAUUGUGCACUGGAGAGCAACAUCUGAUGGAGAUUUGUUGGAGAAUUUGGGAGUUCACACAAGUGUUAGUCCUGCCUCUUAACAUCACAAGACAUAACAGUUGCAUGGUGAAGAAAUUCUCUCCUCUGGGUUCAGACUGGAGAUUUCUCUCAUGUCUCACUUUGUCACAUUGGGAACAGAAGAUGCAGGCAAAAACCUGACAGUCUUACCCCAUGCUCCCGCCUCAUCGCACAGACUGCCCCAAGGAUGUUGGGGCACACCAGCUGAGCCCUUGCUCCUGCCUCCCUAGAAGAGUCCUCUGUGAAAACAGAGACAUUGUUGAAUAUUCUCUGAUUUGCUCUGGAUGAAAUCUCUCAUCAGAUCCCGCUGCUCUUCAUGGCAAAAUACCCGCAGGCAACAGAGUCCAAUUUUUACCCGUUCAGCUUCAGGCAUAAAUUUGCUGUUUUCAAAGUGGAAACAGGAUCAGAUGGCAGAGUGAAGGGAAAAAAAAAAAAAAAAAAAAAAAAAAAGUCCUUCACCAGCUGUGAAAACUGCCCUUUUAAUUUUCAUGAAAAGAUAGAAAGAAAUGUUCUGCUGGUUGUUUCAUCCCUCAUUGGUGUAAUUGACAGAGAGCAUUUCCUCUCACCCAUCAACUCUAAGGUGUCAUUAGCUGCUGGAUCCGUUUUUGGCUUCCCUCCUUUUCCCUCGGUGAAUUGCCUCCUUCUAGAUAUCACCUCUUAAAUUCACGUUCAAUUUUGGGGGGCAAGUUUUAUCUCUUCUGCCUGUGAGAGGAAAAUGGUUUGUUCCUCUUGUCCUACCCAGCUUUCUCUGUUGUGGUAAAUCCUCUACCUGUUCCUGUUACUCCACUUUGAGGUCUCCCUUCAGAUGUUAGUCGUUCUGUUUUACAUCUAAACUGUACCUCAUUAAAACUGUGCAUCAGUCCGGAUUCCUGCUCAUUACAACAGGCAGAAAGCUCGGCUUAUGGGAAUGCAGUUAUAAUGAGGGCAAAGAGUAUGGCUCAAAAACAACUUCUAAUAGCUCAUUAGCAAAAAAAAAUGACUAGUCAGACACCGCUGUAGUUUCCUCGUUCCUUCUAAAGAUCUGAGAGCCAUCCCCUUCCCAGCCCGUGGAGGUUAGCAACGUUUAGUCUUCAAAAUCAAGGCGAAGCUGUCUUCUGCGCUGAGGACUGUCUCACAGCCUUAGAACUGUCCUGGACUCCCGUGUGAUAGCGUCUGCAGAUUUCCUGAGUCACUUAACGUGGUUGCUCGGUGCUCGUUUGUCACCUCCCCUACACCUGCCACACCUGGGAAGCAGCGAGGGGAGCCAGCACUGCACACUGGCAGCCCAGCUGCUGAUGCUCCCUGCUCCCCUAGCUCAGCGUGGAUCCCGUCCUGCUUGAUGCUGUCUCCCUGAUAUCCUGCUUUUUCUCACUCGUGGUUGUUGGUUUGGGAUGUCAGCCUGACCCAGAUUUGGAUUACAGGUAAAAUUCCAAAUAUUUGCCUGAGUCCUGUCAGUGGGAUUCUAGUCCGGGCUGGUGGUGUAUGGCACACAGAGACAGUUCUGCUCUGUGUGUGUGUGAAAAGAGAGAAAUAGAGAGAAGACACCAGACUGGCAAAUAAGUUUUAAAAGAGUCCACACUGACUGGUCUUCUUCCCCUUCUGGGUAACAUGCAGCAGGAACAGCUAUAUACCUAGAAAUAUUAUCAAGAGCUACUCAUUCUCUGAUCCAGAGAGGAGCUAAUGUCAUUGCCUAGGCUUUACUCUGCCCUUGCUCAAGCAAGGCGAGCAAACACUGUGUAAAAACUGUAAAAACUUAACAGAGACCUUAGGAUUUAUGCACUCGUUAUCUUGCAGGACCAUCUCUCAGGAUGAAGUAAUUUACACGGUGAAAUAUCAGUGCACUAAAAAGCUUAGGAGGAGCUUCAUCAAGCUGGCAGCCCUGUUCAUGUGUUCCGAUUAGCUACUCACAGCACCUAUCAGAGAAAAAGAUUUCAUCAGUGGUGGUAUUUAAUGCUCAACUUUUGUCUUCACUCAGCGCAGGCUGAAAACGUAACAUCUUGACAGUCUCACAAGACGCUGCCUCCUCUUAUGGGAGAGCUGACACAGAGGAGGGCUCUUCUGAAUGGGCGAUGUCUGGCCUUUAAAGGACUGAAGAGUGAUUAUGCCACAACUAGACAGUGCCCCAGCCUUGGGGACAGCGUAGCUGUCUUCAUCUAGCAGGCUUGAAUCCCGUGCUGCAGCUGCAGGGCCAUGAGGGAGCGGCAUGCUUCAGCACCCUUCUCAUGGCUGGAUGUGCUGCCCAGCUCGAGAUAAGCAGGUAUCAGCACCCCUGGAGGAAUAUGCUCCUCGGUCAGAAGGAGGAACAUGACUAUAUUUGAAAGCAUUUUAUUUUUAGCUCAUCAUUCAUAAUUUUGCUUGUGCACGUCACGGUGACUCACGCUUUGUUCAUCCUUACUCAACCGUGUGCCUGCAGAGACAACAACGUGAUUGCUUGUUUAAUGCACGGUCUCUCUGUUUGAGGGCUUGUUGUUUCAGCGAGGUCUGGGAGCAGCAAGGGCUUCUUCUCAGCAAAACACUUUCCUGCUGUGAGAGUUUGUAGAAGUGUCUUUUUUUUUUUUUUUUUUUUUUUUUUUCCAAAAGAAAUGUGGUUUUAGUAAAAUGCAGAUGUGGUAAAUGCAUAUGCACUGGUCACAUCUGUCUGAAAAAGAAAAGGCCUCCAAACAGAAAAGGAGCUCUUAACACAGUGCAGAGGAGACCAUCCUGUGCACCAAAUCCUGCUCAUCACGACUGCCAACCCCUUAACAGAUGUUCAGUCCAGACGAUUCCCCAGAACAUCUGUGCCACAUCCUCUACCUGCUGCAAACCACAAAACACCUCCCUGCAAGACCUCCUAAUAAACUGCAGACCCUGUGAAGAAAACACAAAACCUUCGCAAUGACAGUGUAUUGCAGAGAAAAAUGGGAGAGAUCAAAGGCAAAGAAAGGAGCAAAGAGUUCCUAAUGGUUGCCUCGUGCUUUCUCCAUGCACUGGUACUGACUUUUCCUGAUGUAAAGCCAUGGCACUGGGCUAACAACAACCCCUUUUUGUUACCCAGGAGCUCACGGCUCACCUAAGCCUUCUCCGAUCCCUCCAGUGAGCCAUUAGAGCACCAACUGUUGUGAGGUUGUUUUAGCAACAGUUUGAAAAGUGAUUUUUUAUGAGCUGUUUAUUACCUUCUCAGAUUUAUUAUGUUCCAUUCGGACCGAUUAUGUGAAAUAAAAAAAAAAACUCUGACAAAACAUGACCUAAAAAAAAUAAAAGGUUUCUAAAGAAAAUAUGGACCAGGGUUAUUUUUCCUUUCUUCCUUUCCCUCCUCCUCCCCAAACUUUUGGAAUAAAUGUCAGAAUUAAUUUAA